rnacentral:rRNA from 1 species
CUACGGGGUGCUGCAGUGAGGAGUAUUGCACAAUGGGGGAAACCCUGAUGCAGCAACGCCGCGUGGAGGAUGACGCAUUUCGGUGUGUAAACUCCUUUUAUCAGAGAGGAAAAUGACGGUAUCUGAUGAAUAAGCUCCGGCUAACUCCGUGCCAGCAGCCGCGGUAAUACGGAGGGAGCAAGCGUUAUUCGGAAUCACUGGGCGUAAAGGACGCGUAGGCGGGUUUUUAAGUCAGGUGUGAAAUCCUAUGGCUCAACCAUAGAACUGCACUUGAAACUGGGGACCUAGAGUAUGGAAGGGGCAGGUGGAAUUAGUGGUGUAGGGGUAAAAUCCGUAGAUAUCACUAGGAAUACCGAAAGCGAAGGCGACCUGCUGGGACAUUACUGACGCUGAGGCGUGAAAGCGUGUGGAGCAAACAGGAUUAGAUACCCUCGUAGUC